UUAUAUUGUUUUUAUCUUCUAUUAUUUCUAUCAUGGUAUCAGAGCCAUUGGGCGAUCGCUUCCAGGCCGGUUUCUUCCCUCGAGCGGCGUCCGACGAGGACGGAGCCACGUCCUCCACCGGCGGCCUUUGGGGGGAUCGAUCCAAGGCGUCCGGGAAGGGGAUCGCAGCGGCCGUAGGCGGGGACGGCGUGGAGGAGGGAGAGGACGGGGCCUCAGGAUCGCCGGGGACGAGGUGCGAGCGGGGAUGGCGGCCGGGCCGGGCGGCGCGUGGGGAAGGGGUGCUGGACAAGGGAUCGGAGGCGGCCGCCCAAUCGACGCGGGCGCCGUCGUGAUGGGGGGCGCUGCCUCCUGGCCCGCCCUCUCCGAAUCGGCCAAGACUACCUCCAAAUCUCCGUCCUCCGAUGCUCUGAAAGCCCUCUCCGAUGGACCGCUCUCCGCGCCCCC
rnacentral:lncRNA from 1 species